rnacentral:rRNA from 1 species
UACGGGGGGGGCAAGCGUUGUUCGGAAUUACUGGGCGUAAAGGGCUCGUAGGUGGCCAACUAAGUCAGACGUGAAAUCCCCAGGCUUAACCUGGGAACUGCGUCUGAUACUGGAUGGCUUGAAUUCGGGAGAGGGAUGCGGAAUUCCAGGUGUAGCGGUGAAAUGCGUAGAUAUCUGGAGGAACACCGGUGGCGAAGGCGGCAUUCUGGACCAAUACUGACGCUGAGGAGCGAAAGCCAGGGGAGCAAACGGG